rnacentral:rRNA from 1 species
UACAGGGGGAGCAAGCGUUGUUCGGAUUUACUGGGCGUAAAGGGUGCGUAGGCGGCGCGGUAAGUCGGGUGUGAAAUCUCGGGGCUUAACUCCGAAACUGCAUUCGAUACUGCCGUGCUUGAGGACUGGAGAGGAGACUGGAAUUUACGGUGUAGCGGUGAAAUGCGUAGAUAUCGUAAGGAAGACCAGUGGCGAAGGCGGGUCUCUGGACAGUUCCUGACGCUGAGGCACGAAGGUCAGGGGAGCAAGCGGG